AGUCAAGCCAUGUCGUACGCCGAAUAUUUAUGUGGUGGCAUAGCUACCCGACUGGCAAGCUCUUCCAAUGGUUUACUUUUAAUACCGAACUCUUUGCUCACACCAGUGAAGCAAACCACCAAAUAUACAAACAAGCAUUUUGCGCCGUUUGUUUGCGGUGCAAUUGUACCAGGAGAGUGCUUACUAGAGAAUGCAAAAAAUAAGAAAAUACCUAUAUACAUACAUAAUACAUCAUAGUAAUAUUAAUUAAAAGACGAAGAGCUAUAGUAAAUGUUAUCUACCUAUGGUGUCAGUGUCUAUCAGUCAAAUUUAAAUGGAAAUAGGAAACCAAAGUUUAAGCUUAAUUUUAUAAAACUAAAACUAAAAGCGAUGUUUCCAAACUAUAAAUAUGCACAUAUACAUAUUAUAAUGUGAGUUCAUCCCCAAGCAAACGUAUCUGAUGACACGUAGACACUGUAAACUUUUAAGCUUUCACAAGAAUUCAGAUACUUAUACUUAUAUUCGUGUAUAUGCGUGUGUGUAACGCUUAAAAGUAUGCUUUAAAAGGAUUGUAUGUGUUGUGCCCUGUAGGACAGCUAUGGUUUAAAGCUAUCACAAACUCAUUUGGUUAAAAAAACGUAUUUCACUAAUUCGGAUAACAAAAUUGUUAUAUAUGAAAAUCUGCUUGUUCGCUUAAUAUGUAUAUUGUUUCACACCGAAAUAUUCUGGUCCUAUGCUAGAAGUUCAGCUAGCGAUUCCAUUACCUGUAGUUUCGGUAGAAGAUCUGUAUGUCUAUACACAGAUUUAUACAAGAAGGUUUUUUAGAAAUAAAUACACUUUAAAUAUAAUAAAGUUGAUAAUAAACUAAGAACCAUGUACACUUUCUACUACAUUAGUAGAGAAUAACUUUACUUCAACCCACUAAAUUACAGUGAAACCUUAAUCACGGGAAUGAAAAUCUAUACAACAACAACCUUCCCUCAGCAUACAGCCAACACCUUCAAUGUUUUCUGCAGAAUUUCUCGUUGGAAUAAAUAAACUAGCGGUAGCAAGCUACAGCGCCAAAGGGUGUUCACCUCAAUAUCUUGAUAUUAUAAUGUUAAAACAUAAUUACCUUAUUGUUUUCGGGAAGCAUACAUAGCUAGCCACUUUAACACUGAAUUUCUAACAAUUAUCCAUGCAUCUAUACAUGCAUGUGUGAGUGUAUCGUAUAAGCCGCAAUUGUUUUGUACAUUUUGUUGUGACAUAUUUUUAUAAAUUUCCUUUUGUCACAGCUUCUUAAAGCAUCGGCAUCAAAUUAAAACCCCCGUAAAAAAAGUUAGUGUGUAUAUAAAUGUGUGUAUGUACGAGCAAGAAGCUUUAGUAUGGCAAGAGCUUUCAAGCUUGAGGUGAAGAACACAUUUCAGGGUAGUCGACGCCCACAUGUGACUAGAAAAGGUACCCAUUGAGAAAAUAUUAUAGGCGUAUUUGCAUUGAUUGGUAUGAAGAAACUUUAGCACCGAAUUUCAGUUCAAGCAGACUUUAAAAAGAUUAUCACAUCAACCAACUGGAAGCUUAACCAUCUGCAAGUAACCUUGAACUUUAAAAGCUCCGACAAAUGCCAUCUGAUGUGUUCCAACUAUGUAUUUGACUUGAACUAUGCAUUUGUAGACAGACCAAGUUGCUAGUUACUUGCAUUAAAUAAAAGAGAUAUCAGAAGAAGAUGAACGCUGGAGCUCAACCAAGCCUUGCGAAUUCGCGUCCUUCAGCCGAUUGAGACGUUAUAUCUUUCACGGUGCUACUACAUCAAACCUUACGAUAUUGGGACCUCAUAGUUGUGUAGAAACAAAAACGAUACGGCGGGAUGCGGUGCUCAAGAUCCUCCUUCAGCGAACCAACCAUUUUAUUUUAUUUUAAU